UCACCGUGUUAGCCAGGAUGUCUCAAUCUCCUGACCUCGUGAUCCACCCGCCUCAGCCUCCCAAAGUGCUGGGAUUAUAGGCGUGAGCCACUGCGCCCGGCCCCAAGCUGCUUCUUUCUCGGCUCUCUGCUUUGCAGACUCGAAUGACCUCAUGGUCCAAGAUGGCGGCGUCCAAGUUCCAGCAGCGAGACGGAGAAAGGAACAAAGAAAAAGAAAGCAAAGAUACCCACCCGAGACUUGACACUUCCGUUUAUAUCCUAUUGGCCAGAACGUAGUCACGUGACCUUACUUAAACGACAAGGGAGGCUUGGAAAGGGGAAGAGUGUCAAGCCAGAGGCCCUGCAAGGAGCAGAAGGCGUGGUUAAGAAGCGUGUUGGGAGAGACUGUUCCUUCGCAGCAUGCGAGAAUUAUAUGAAAUCAUCGCUGAGACCUCAUUUACUUGGAGUGAUUUAUUUUGGAGAAAACCAGAUGUUUGGGAUGGCUGAUAACGCAUGAAAAGCUGCAUUCUCUGCUGUUCGUUUUCUAAGGGUGUGUUAGGCAACAAUGACAAAUAUUAAGGUACCAUGUUACUCUGUCUUACUGACAUGCCUGUGACUGAUCUUUUUUAUCAGUUAGUUGAAAACACACACAAAGAAAUUUAAUAAAAAGCUUAAAAUGUGUGCACAGUUCAAGAAGUUAAUUUAGAUUUAGAUUGCUAACCUAUCCUUUGUGUCUAAAAGUUUUUAACAAAAACCUCACACACUAAUAUUACACACGCGCGCACACACACACACUCCCACAAUCUGUUGGAAAUAUUUCUAAAGGGCCACUUUGGGUGAGGAAAAAACACGUUUUGGCUGCUUGGUUUGAAUAAGUGGUAUAAUUACUAUGUGUCUAUUUUUAAAAUUCCAAUUCUUAUUGAAUUAGGCACAUGGACCCUGAUGAAGUUGCAGGAAACAGCUGAACUACUUGUGUGGCUAAUUCCAGAAAUUCAAAGAAAAUGCAAACUUGAGCAUGUCACAUAACAUGUUGAUGGCAACAUGCAGAAGGGAGAUGGCCUUGGCCAUUGACUUGAUUUCUCUCCUUGUAUCCAGAUGAUCCUGCAGGGGAAAUGUGAUGAUUCUCCAAAAAUUGAGCUGGGAGAGUCCAAGAUCCACACCCAGGGCCCACCAGGGCCACCUGCCCCCUCAACUCUGCCACAACUGUGGGUUCAAUCCCGGCACUGGGAGAUUUCCCAUCCAAUGAAAGAAGCCUUCCAGUCCACCCUGGGGCUGCAGACCAGGCAACCCAAGGUACAGCUGAGCAAUGAUUCACUCGCCAGCCUUAGACUUAUUUCUGCCCCUCUGGCACUGCUGGCCGUACCUGAGUCUUCAAAUUAUGUUCUCCACGUGUUUUGAAUGCAGGCAGUGCCUCAGUGCCAAGUGCAGGCUGUACUUUGCCAUCCAAGGAUAACAGUAUCAUGGGGACAGCUUCUCUCAUCUUACACGGAACUAAAAAUAAGACAAUCUUUCAGCAUUCAGAGAUAGAAACUUCCAGACUUUUCUGAGCAAAACCUUAUUUUUGAUUUCCAGUACUAGAAAUAGAAAAUGGUGGGCAGAUCAUCUGUCUCCACCAAAGGUCAGUUCUUUUGCUUUACGUCUUUUGAUGAAAGAGUGUAAUACAUUAAAAUAUGUAUCUCCA